AUUAAUAUUUUCCUACCUUUGUUCAAAUUCUCUCUCUCUCUCUCUCUCUCUCUCUCUCUCUCUCUCUCAGAGAGAGAGGAUUUGAACAAAGGUAGGAAAAUAUUAAUG
rnacentral:miRNA from 1 species